rnacentral:rRNA from 1 species
CGUCUCCUACGGGGCGCAGCAGUGAGGAAUAUUGGUCAAUGGGCGGGAGCCUGAACCAGCCAAGUCGCGUGAGGGAAGACGGUCCUAUGGAUUGUAAACCUCUUUUGUCGGGGAGCAAAGAGGCCACGUGUGGUCAAAAGCGAGAGUACCCGAAGAAAAAGCAUCGGCUAACUCCGUGCCAGCAGCCGCGGUAAUACGGAGGAUGCGAGCGUUAUCCGGAUUUAUUGGGCUUAAAGGGUGCGUAGGCGGGACGGUCAGACAGCGGUAAAAAUGCGGAGCUCAACUCCGUCGAGCCGUUGAAACUG